CUGGGGUAAGUAAAGUGGCGCACGGGUGAGUAACGCGUGGGUAAUCUGCCCCUGAAUCUGGGAUAACGCUGCGAAAGCGGUGCUAAUACCGGAUGACAUCGAAUUGACUUCGGUUGAUUGGAUCAAAGGUAGCCACUCCAUGGAAGCUACUGUUUGGGGAUGAGCCCGCGUACCAUUAGCUUGUUGGUAGGGUAACGGCCUACCAAGGCGACGAUGGUUAGCUGGUCUGAGAGGAUGAUCAGCCACACUGGAACUGGAACACGGUCCAGACUCCUACGGGAGGCAGCAGUGAGGAAUUUUGCGCAAUGAGGGAAACCUUGACGCAGCAACGCCGCGUGAGUGAUGAAGGCUUUCGGGUCGUAAAGCUCUGUCAAGUGGGAAGAAAUCCCGGGAAGUGAACAGUUUUUCGGGUUGACGGUACCACUGAAGGAAGCACCGGCUAACUCCGUGCCAGCAGCCGCGGUAAUACGGAGGGUGCGAGCGUUAUUCGGAAUUACUGGGCGUAAAAGGGCGCGCAGGCGGUCAUGUAAGUCAGAUGUGAAAGCCCGGGGCUUAACCCUGGAAGUGCAUUUGAAACUGUGUGACUUGAGUAUGGGAGAGGGAAGCGGAAUUCCUGGUGUAGCGGUGAACUGCGUAGAUAUCCAGGAGGAAACACCCGUGGCGAAGGCGGCUUCCUGGACCAAUAACUGACGCUGAGGCGCGAAGGCGUGGGGAGCAAACAGGAUUAGAUACC
rnacentral:rRNA from 1 species